CAGAGAGAGAAAUUAAACUAAAGAACAAGCCCAGGAUCUGCUGUACAGCAGGUACAAAUGCUGAGCACAAUACUUCAUGCUUUGCUUCUGAUACUUAUAUUUCCUACUGGGAAGGUUUUUGCCAGUGAAUCUUCAUGCUACUUAGAAUCUUCUGCAUUAACUGAUGGUGUCUACAGUAAAGGAGACUUGAUAAUUGGAGGAAUAUUACAGAUAUCUUUGGCCAAAUCUUUUAUUAAUCCGUUAUUUCAUUAUAAAACGUCAUUGCCCAUU